rnacentral:rRNA from 1 species
UACGAUUAACCCAAAUUAAUAUUCACCGGCGUAAAACGUGUUUAAGGAAAUCGAACAAAUAAAGCUAAACCAAGACUAAGCCGUAAAAAGCUACAGUCAAAAUAAAAUAAACAACGAAAGUGGCUUUAACAAACCCGAACACACGAUAGCUAAGACCCAAACUGGGAUUAGAUACCCCACUAUGCUUAGCCCUAAACCAAGACAUUUGACAAACUAAAAUGUUCGCCAGAGUACUACUAGCAACAGCCUAAAACUUAAAGGACUUGGCGGUGCUUCACACCCCCCUAGAGGAACCUGUCCUAUAAUCGACAAACCCCGAUAGACCUCACCACCCCUCGCCAAUGCAGCCUAUAUACCGCCAUCCUCAGCAAACCUUGGAGAGUACCACAGUAAGCACAAUCAUCAUUCGUAAGUACGUUAGGUCAAGGUGUAGCCCAUGGGGUGGAAAGAGAUGGGUUACAUUUUCUUACAAAAGAAAAUCAACGGAAGUUUCCAUGAAACCCUAGAAACCGAAGGAGGAUUUAGAAGUAACCUGAGAAUAGAGCGCUCAGUUGAACCAGGCCAUGAAGCACGC